rnacentral:rRNA from 1 species
AUCUAUGGCCAUACUACCCUGAACGCGUGGGAUCUCAUCUGAUCUUGGAAGCUAAGCGGGGUCGGGCCUGGUUAGUACUUGGGUGGGAGACUGUCUGGGAAUACCUGGUGCUGUAGGCA